AAAUUGAAGAGUUUGAUCAUGGCUCAGAUUGAACGCUGGCGGCAGGCCUAACACAUGCAAGUCGAGCGGAAACGAGUUAUCUGAACCUUCGGGGGACGAUAACGGCGUCGAGCGGCGGACGGGUGAGUAAUGCCUAGGAAAUUGCCCUGAUGUGGGGGAUAACCAUUGGAAACGAUGGCUAAUACCGCAUGAU
rnacentral:rRNA from 1 species